AUGGGAUACCCAUCACGCAUUUUUCACAAAUAUGUACAUACAAAUAAACCUUUAAUUAGUGCCGUAUUCAGCCAGACACACACGAAGAAACUAACUUAUACGAAACAUAGCAUUAAUAUUUUUCGAAAUGGGGGUUGAAUCGAAAGAGAACAGACGGUCGUCGUCGUUAAUUCAGAAAGCCAUAUCUUUCUGCUUUCUUGUCAUUUUUGCAAUUUAUUGUUACUUGAGACUAUUUUAUCGGUUCAUUGUACCACGAUCGUUGAAACCAUUAAACGGUGAAAUUUUUCUAAUCACUGGAUCUUCGUCCGGAAUUGGGAAAGCUGUAGCAUUGCACUUGGCCAAGCAUCAUCCAGAAACGAAAUUGGUUCUCUGGGAUCAAAAUCUGCGUCUUAACCUACAAACGGCGUUCGAGGCAAGAAAACUGGGCGCCAUAGUGCAUGCCUAUGAGGUGGAUGUAACGGACCGUAAGAAAGUUCGUGAAACGGCUUUAAAGGUUCAGAGCGAGGUUGGAAACGUGACCAUUCUGUAUAACAACGCCGGCAUCGCUCAAGGAACACAGUUCUUUACUUGUCCUGAACAAGAACUGGAGAAAACUAUCCAGGUCAACUUGAUUUCCCACUUUUGGACGCUCCGAGCAUUUUUACCUUCCAUGAUCGCCAAUAAUCAUGGCCACAUCGUGACCACUGCGUCGCUGGGAUCGUUCUUCGGACAUAAAUCUUGUGUCCCUUAUUUUGCUGCAAAAUUUGCUAUCAGAGGAUACGUCGAGUCACUACAAGAUGAGCUUAAUUCCAUGCCGGACGUUCCGGAUCAAGUUUAUUUUACUACCGUGUACCCCGGUUUCACGGAAACGCCAAUGACUGCAAAGUCUCAAACUGCCGUUGGUCCGUUAUCACAACAGCCUUGGGAAAAAGACUUACUUGAAAGCUAAUUAUGUGGCAGAAAAAAUUGUGGAAGGGAUUCGACAAAAUCGACAAGGAGUCGUGAUUCCACGCAGUGCAGAAGUAGCAAUUUUUAUGAAAGGACUGAUGCCAGAGAAAUUAUUUUGGGAAAUUCGCCGCUAUCUAGUCUCAAACCAGCGGAAGGCUCAAUAAAUUCCAUAAAUUUGUGAUUUUAAGGAAUCAAAAUUUAUAUAUUCAAUUAAUGUUUGUAAUAUCAAUUAUUGAGAAUGUACUUGCAUAAUAAAAUAUUUAUUCGAGGAGUACAUAUA